rnacentral:rRNA from 1 species
AGUAAAAGUCGUAACAAGGUUUCCGUAGGUGAACCUGCGGAAGGAUCAUUAUCGAGUUACUAUUGACUUUGAUGCUGGCCGCUUGCGGCAUGUGCUCGAGUCUUUAAAUCCACUCAACCACUGUGCACUAAUUCGAAAGCUUCGCGGUUCAGGCUCCUUCCUUCGGGGGGUCGAGUUCGGGCUUGCGGGGUUUUCGAGCUUCAUACAAACCACAUAUUGUCAUGUCGAAUGUAAUACUUUAUUAAAAAUACAACUUUCAACAACGGAUCUCUUGGCUCUCGCAUCGAUGAAGAACGCAGCGAAAUGCGAUAAGUAAUGUGAAUUGCAGAAUUCAGUGAAUCAUCGAAUCUUUGAACGCACCUUGCGCUCUUUGGUAUUCCGAAGAGCAUGCCUGUUUGAGUGUCAUGUAAUCAUCAAUCCGACUUCGCUUUUUGUGAAGCUCGGACUUGGAUUUGGAGGUUCUUGCUGGCUUUCCGUCGGCUCCUCUUGAAUGCAUUAGCUGGACUCCGUCGCGGUUCGCGGUGUGAUAACUUAUUCACCCUUGGACUUCGAAGUAAGACCGGCUUCUAAAACCCCUUUACUUUUGACCAUCUGGCCUCAAAUCAGGUAGGACUACCCGCUGAACUUAAGCAUAUCAAUAAGCGGAGGA